rnacentral:ncRNA from 1 species
AAUAAAACAACGAACAGAAGAGUAACUUGUUUGAGAUGCAAAGAGAGCUGACAACGCUGAAAAGCCAGCCAUCGAUUCAAGCGAACCACACCUGCGAGUGCAGCCGAAAUACUGCCGGGUCACCGUUAUCGUCAAGAGUCAUUGACUCGCUGAGGUUAACUAAGUAAUUAGUUGGCAUUAAGAGGUGGAACCGCGCAAAACGCCCUCUCA